rfam:Hordeum vulgare subsp. vulgare, WGS project CAJW01000000 data, contig: morex_contig_104134
CAAAUACUCCCUCCGUCCUAAAAUUUUUGUCUUACUUUGUCUAGAAAUGAGUGUAUCUAAAUACAAAAAUAUGACUAUAUACAUUCAUAUCUAAAUAAAUUUAAGACAAGAAUGUUGGGACGGAGGGACUAAUAC